CCCUUCUUAGCUCAGUUGGAAGAGCAUCUGACUGUAACAUUGGCUGGAUCACACCAGUAUCCUAGUCACUAGCCAUCAGGAGGUCUCCGGUUCGAACCCGGAAGAAGGGA